rnacentral:tRNA from 1 species
GCGGGAGUGGUGAAAUUGGUAGACACGCUAGAUUCAGGUUCUAGUCGGGGAAACCCGGUGGGAGUUCGAGUCUCCCCUUCCGCACCA